GAUGAGCAUCGGUGGUCCGAGGUACAGGCUUCAAACCUGUAGCUGCUUAUCGGCAGAGUGGUUCAAUUUUUUUUAAUUUG